rnacentral:lncRNA from 1 species
CUCCUCCUUCUUUUAUUUUUUAUCAUUAGAGUGCUUCUUUUUCUUUUCUUUAAGCUUUUUGCAGUCUGCGGAUUACUUUUCAGUUCCUGGCUCUACCCAAGCAUCUUCGGCUACUUUUUGUUAGGAGAGGCCACUUGGAGAGGUCUAGUACAGACCACUAUUACCUAUGAAUUACAUUGCUCCUCACUAGUGACCUCAGCAACAUCCGCUGGUUUCACUCCAGUUUGCUCCAAAUUAUCAAUAUUUGCACCCCUAAAUCCCGGUGCAGUGACAACCUUUUCAAUAAAAUCUUCUUCUUCUUUUUUAUCAUUUUUAACAACUUUUUCUUCUUUAGCAACAACUUAUGCUUCAACAACUUCUUCUUCUGCAGCAUCAAUUUCCUUCUCAACAACAGUGUCCUCUUGAUCAGUAAAAAUAUCAUCCUCGAACAAG